AGUUACUCUUUCUCACUGUACCGUUCCCCUCUCUCUCUCACCUCGAAGAGACGGAAAAAAUGGCAGGUCCUGUGACCAUUUGUGUUCCUUUCAAUCUCUAUUCUGUUAUCAAGAGGUUACAACCUCACCUUUGCUCCCUCCGCUGCACCAUCGGCUUCUUCAAAUGAUGAUAUCUCCUGCUUAAGAUACAACUUCUACUCUGAAACUUGUCGACAGACAGAGUCCAUUGUGAGGACAACAAUGGCUCGCUUCUACUUCGAGCAAAGCAAUAUCUCUGCAGCUAUACUGCGCCUUUUCUUCCAUGACUGUUUCAUUGAGAAGUUCACAAUUUGAAUACGGCGUGUAGACUUUUGCAUCUCCCAGUUUGUGUAUAAUUAAAAGUAGUGCUUCUCAAUGAAGCAGUUAUGGAAGAAAAGGUGCAGGACUGCUGCCCAGGCAUUGUUUCGGAAGUCCUUAUGAUGCUUGGGGUGGUUUUGUUAUUCUAGAUAAACCCAAGAGACGAAACCCUCAAAUCCUCCGCUUCCUCUUCUCUCUGUUAUUCCUAUUUUUCUGUACAAUCGGUUUCUUCCAAUGAUGGUAUCUCCGAAUUAUGCUACAAUUUUUAAUGUGAGACUUGUCCACAAGCAGAGUACAUUGUAAGGACUUCCAUGACUCAUUUCUUGUCUGGCCAAAACAAUGCCUAUGUAGCAUUUAUGCACCUUUUCUUCCAUGGCUGUUUCAUUGAGGCUCGCUCCUUUUAAUUACAAACACCAGAAGUUUCAAAAACAAGGAUCAAAAAACUCGACGAGUCUUUAAUUUGUGACAAGAGCUUGAGCUGGAGAAGUUUGUCACCCAUGAAGUUCCAUUCUUGGAAAUCAACAAGGGCUUUGAAUACAUGAUUCCAGGGGACAAUCUUCAAUGCAUUACCAGAAAGGAUGCAUUCAAUUUAAUAAAAAUGAUUGAGCAUUUGCGAGUGUACAUAAUUGAAGCAAUUAAACGUUCACUCAUUAUUGAAACCGAUUGACUAGCAGCAGGGUUGUUUGGUGUAAAGUCGUGUUUCACUUGGCCUGUAUAAAAGGAUUGAAAUGCCCUUUUUUCGGAGUGUAAAUUGAAAUACUUGAUGAAUUAAUAAUUAAUUUUUAGCAUAUUUUUUCA